GGCCAAGUUCCCAGAUAAAAAUGAGCAGAAGAGAGAGAUGAAACUUCUAGGUCACGCUUGUCAAAGAAAAAGGCAUCUCUUCCUUUCCCCUUCCUCUCCCCACCCUGCUGUUGGAAUUCUGAUGUGCUUGUGCCCAUCUUCAACCACACAGAUGAAGGAUCUAAAACCUGAAAAGAGGCCAAAUGACUCCUCAAAACCAUGCAGGUACUAAGUAGCAGAGAAGAUCUCAAACCCAGGUUGGUUUCCUUUUUACAACUGCCCAAGUCAUGAGUUCAUAGGGCCUGGAUGGCUGUACCGGAUUGCUCUCCAGCUGGCCUCUCUGCAUCCAGAAAUUUCUACAACCUACUGGGGUAAAAUCUUUCUCAACCAUGCUUUUCAUCAUCACAUCUUAAAUACCUCGAGUUGGUUCCCUAUUGCCAAAAAAAAAAAUCCAUUGUCCAUGCAGGGUUCUUCUGCCGAAAUGAAGAGAGUG